rnacentral:lncRNA from 1 species
AUUGUCACUGUCCUGGAGGUCCUCUGGAGACACUGAGAAGCUGCAUGUAUGUACUCCAGAGCCUGGUUUCUGUGCUCUCCAGAACAUGAAAGCGCCCAGCAUGGACGUUGCUUACUGGGAGUAGUAAAUUAAGUAUGAGCCCAGUAGGGAGUUGUGACGUUUUGAUGGAAUAACCUCGUGUAUUUCAUUUAUUUUCCUGGCGAUCUCUGAGCAGGCUUCAGAUUUUGACAGUUAUGAAAGAUCCAAGCAUUAAUGUGUGGGUGAAAAGCUUGGUGAAAUUCUGAGUGAAGUCUUAGUUAAAGUUGGUUGAACUUGGAAUUGACUGGGAGGCCAAAGAUUUAAAAAGCAGAUUUUCUCAAGACACAGUUGUGUGAUAAUGGUGUGUGCUUCGUGUGUGUGCGUGAGACUUUGUAAAUGUUGAAUUCUAGGCUCCGACAAUCAUUGUAGUGCAGAUCAGACUGCAGAAUAUUUAUGUUUUAAAUUUAAAUUAUAAAGCUAGUUAAGUCUUCUAACAACUAGUUUUAAUGUUCAUGAGCAAAUUUUGCCUACAUUACCUUUUCAAGAUGUUGAAAAAGAUGCUUCCGCAAGCCCAGGUUGGAAGCUGGGAGGUGGGUGGUUCUAGGAGAGAUCUUUGUGGAUUCAUUCUUACUCAAUGCCUUCUGGGAUUGAGUAAGUUUUAAUCUAUUCUGUAAGAUUAAAAGGAAAAAAACAAAAACACAAUGGAAAUUAAAACCUCAUUAAAUUAGUCUUUAAAAACAUUGUUACCUGAGAUUGAGUGGGACUUUUGAGGGCUUUGUUCCAGAAAACAAGGACCGGGUCCUCGGGCCUACAUUAGGCCUGACCCCGGAGCCAUGUGUUUGUGCCUAAAAUCAUCUCAGUGGGAAGUAUCUUAGUGACUCUAGAGACUCCCGGGACAGUGGGGGGGUCUUCCAUUUGAAAACUGUGAUACUUGCAUGGGAUUGUUUGAAUCUUGUUUCCUAGUCUCCCUUUCCCCAUCACUACCCUCAUAGUCUGAAGGUAGAUUUUUCUCUUGAUAAAGGAACACAAAAAUGAACAUCUUACUUGUAAAUUGAUAUCUAGUAACUAGUGGUAAACUUGAAAUGGUAGCAUUCUUUACAGCUUAAUCCUAGGUAGCCUUAGAGAAAUGUGUCUUUAUUAUUUCUGAACCUGCAUCCAUCUUGUCUGCCCAAGCUGUCUUAAGUUAUGUUUCCUUUUUUCAGAGCUGCUUUUUAUUUUGGGGCUACUUUUUUUUUUUUUUAAUUGAGGCGUAAAUCAUAAAAGACUACAUUGCUUUGAUGAGAGACUUUUUACACCGUCAGGUUGUCUUUGUCUAGUCUUCCAAGAAGGGUCAUUGUGCUUUUUUAGAUAAAUCCUGACAUGGGCUACUUCAGAUGCAAAGUAAAACCCAAGCUCUCACCUCACGUGUUUCACUCUGAAUGUGGCCAGCGGAAGACACGACUUGCCUGUUAGCACACUGUUACUUGUAAACGGAAAUGCUGAAGACACUCAGCUUUCUUUACAGAAAAUCAAGGUUUCCUGAUGACUGGGCACAUGAGGUGAGCUGACAGUCUUGGUUCAGGGUGAUCGGAUUGUGUAGACUGACAGUCUGUGUACUGCUGGCUAAGUGUGAUAGCAUCUGCAGUUCUCUCCCUCCCGGUAGUUACUGAACUCUUUAAAACUGGUAUUGUGACGUUACAACAAUGUUUUGCGCCAAUUUUAUAAACCUUUACAGUGCAAUAUGUGUUACUUUUCUGAGGCAAACCAAAGGUAUAUUUCUCAAGGUUCUGCUGCCAUCAGCAGCAUUUGAUGGAGGAUUUUUUUUAUACAUUUGUAAUAGGUAGAGAUGAAACAGAUUGCAGUUUGUUUUUUGUUAUUUUUUUUUUUUUAAAUUGUAAACCAUGUACCAGGUUUCUGGUCAAGAUUGUGUAGGAUAAGUUAAACAUAAUUGCAUUCUAUUAACCAAUAUGAGUGUAUUUCUUAUGCAUAUAGUUACAUUGAAAUAAAGUUCUAAAAACU